UACGUAGGUGGCAAGCGUUGUCCGGAAUUAUUGGGCGUAAAGCGCGCGCAGGCGGUCCUUUAAGUCUGAUGUGAAAGCCCACGGCUCAACCGUGGAGGGUCAUUGGAAACUGGGGGACUUGAGUGCAGAAGAGGAGAGUGGAAUUCCACGUGUAGCGGUGAAAUGCGUAGAUAUCAGGAGGAACACCGGUGGUGUAGACGGCUCUCUGGACCGUAACUGACGCUGAGACACGAAAGCGUGGGGAGCAAACAGG
rnacentral:rRNA from 1 species